GGAGAUGGUAGCUCACGAUAUCUACAACCAGUUUGGAUGAUGAUCCAGUAAUUGGAUAGAUGGUUAUGCAUCUAGGCCUAUGUUAGCCGGUUGUGGCAUCUUUUAGUUCAUUUUGCAUUAUUUUGCUGCUCCUUUAGAGCUUGUUCGGAACCAUAGACUAUUUGAUUGCUUUUUCUAAUAAAGUGGCUGCAUGCACCAUAUUGAU
rnacentral:lncRNA from 1 species